UACGUAGGCAGCGAGCGUUGUUCGGAGUUACUGGGCGUAAAGGGUGUGUAGGCGGUUGUUUAAGUUUGGUGUGAAAUCUCCCGGCUCAACUGGGAGGGUGCGCCGAAUACUGAAUGACUAGAGUGCGGGAGAGGUGAGUGGAAUUCCCAGUGUAGCGGUGAAAUGCGUAGAUAUUGGGAGGAACACCAGUGGCGAAGGCGGCUCACUGGACCGGAACUGACGCUGAGGCGCGAAAGCGUGGGGAGCAAACAGG
rnacentral:rRNA from 1 species